AACGAACGCUGGCGGCAUGCUUAACACAUGCAAGUCGAACGGAACGGCCCUGCUUUUGUGGGGUGCUCGAGGGGCGAACGGGUGAGUUACCCGUAAGUUCGCUACCACUGACCUUGGGGUAACCUCAUGAAACUGGGUCUAAUCCCGCCUAGGAGCUCCUGCUUCAUGGUGGGGGUUGGAUGGUUUAGGCGGUUGGGGGUGGACUCGCGGCUUAUCAGAUUGUUGGUGGGGUAGUGGCUUAGCAAGGCCUGGACCGGUGGCAGGGCUGGGAGGGUGACCGGCCACACAGGGAUGGAGAUGCGGCCCAGCCUCCUACGGGAGGCAGCGGUGCGGAAUAUUGCACAAUGGGCGGAGGCAUGGUGCAGCAACGCAGCGUGGGGGAUGACGGCCAUGGGUUUGUAAACCGCUUUCGCCUGUGACGAAGCGAGAGUGACGGUAAUGGGUGAAGAAGCACCGGCUAACUACGUG
rnacentral:rRNA from 1 species